rnacentral:rRNA from 1 species
UAGACACCAGAACAGACCAUGUUGACUACCCCCUAAAAUAGGUAAUAAUUAUUGAACCCUGUUCCCCGUCUUUGGUUGGGGCGACCACGGGGAACAAGAAAACCCCCACGUGGACUGAGAGCACACCACUCCCACAACUACGAGCCACAGCUCUAAACUACAGAAUUUCUGACCAAAAAGAUCCGGCAAUGCCGAUCAACGGACCCAGUUACCCU